AUAAAAUUUCUCCCUUACACCGUCCCGCCACCUUUGGACGAACCGAAAUAAAUCGAACGACGCCGAGUCGAUCAGCAGUACGGUAUUCGUUGGACGCGACCGUUUUUUGCGUUUAGUGAUGAUCAGGACGAGUCGUUGUUGUUGUCGUCGACGUUGUUGUUCGUGGCACUGCGCGAAAACGAAGUAGCAGGUCUAUAGACAGGGACCACGCACAGUUCCGAAAUAAAUAAUCGUUUGUUCGUGAGAUAAAAGAAAAUAAGAAGAUAGAAAAACAAACAGAAGAUAAACAAGACUAAAGGAAAGUAAGGGAUAAAAGUAAAGAAGGAAGGAAGGAAGGAAGGAAGAAAAAAAAAAAGGAAGAGGAAGAACGAGGAACGAGGACACGCGCGUCGUCGUUUGCUGCCGCGGCCACGGAUGCAUAUGGAGGUGUCCCCGAACCGGCGCUGUCUGAACCAGCUCAACAGCUGAUCGGAGUACGAAGCGGCGGUGAACGGGGCCACUAUUGCACCACCACCCCGCAUAUUUGCAAGAUAAUCGUUAAGGAAUAAUAACGAGAUCUUUUUAAAGGCUCACGUUCGAAAGAGAACUGUGUUGGUUGAAGAAGGAA